rnacentral:rRNA from 1 species
AUUGAACGCUGGCGGCAGGCCUAACACAUGCAAGUCGAGCGAGCGGCGGACGGGUGAGUAAUGUCUGGGAAACUGCCUGAUGGAGGGGGAUAACUACUGGAAACGGUAGCUAAUACCGCAUACCAUCAGAUGUGCCCAGAUGGGAUUAGCUAGUAGGUGGGGGAACGGCUCACCUAGGCGACGAUCCCUAGCUGGUCUGAGAGGAUGACCAGCGACACUGGAACUGGGACACGGUCCAGAGUCCUACAGGAGGCAGCAGUGGGGAGUAUUGCUCGAUGGGCGCAAGCCUGAUGCAGCCAAGCCGCGUGUGGGAAGAGCGCCUUCGGGUUGUAAAGCACUUUCGGCGAGGAGGCGUUACCCGCGGAGGAAGCACCGGCUAACUCCAUGCCAGCAGCCGCGGUAAUAC